CAGAUUGGGCCCUAUAAAGCAAAGUAUUUACUCUCUUUUCCCUCUCCCACAAAAACCCCAGACCCCACCACCCAAAAAAGGGGUUAUGUACUUCUUUUAGUAUAAAGUGUUUUAGUUUCUGUGUGCAGCUAUGAAGCCUGAAGAGCUGGAGAAGUUACAGAAGGCUGAUUGUUUAUUGACUGGUAUGACAUGGAAAGAAGUGCAUGGAAACUGAGAGGGAGGAAUGGAAGCAGCUAGCUGAGAACACACCAUGACAUACACCAAAGCUUCUGUAGAACUAAGAGAUGUGCCCAGGACUGGAGGUUAAAAGAAUGGAGUGUACUGGAGUGGGAAAAGCUCGGUGUCGGUUGGAGGUGAAGUCACCAGCAUUGCAUUUCUGCACCAGUCACAACUGAUAAGUUCAAAACCACAUCAGGUGGGUUUCCAGAGGUGCAAGCCACAGGGACCUGGUACACUCUGCUCAUUCGAUGCAAGAGAAGCCUAAUCCUGAGUUAAGUACACAAAGUUUUACAGAUACUGCGGCAUCUUGCUUCCCCUAAACAUGCGACGGGAUUUGACAUCGGCGCUGUUUCUCCUUGGUGGUAUUGUGAUUAAACUCCCAGAUUUGAGCAGAGGAAGGAAGGACCCUGGAGAGAAGACGUGGGAACCUGUGUUAAGAGACCUCUUUAAGAGAUUUAACUUGGAAGCCUUUGUCCCUUUGAAUGUUAUUGUCUUCAGCAGCAAUUUGUAACUCCCAGCAUUCCCUUUCUACUGCAAAUAUGAAUGUUAAAGUGAGCAGUUUUCUUAGUAUGUGUUCAUAGAUGUUUUCUAGAUGUGUGAGCACAUCAGCCCCUACAAGACAGAUUGCAGCUGGGACAUGCUACAGCAACAAGUAUGUUGUUGGGGAUUGUAGAUAACAGGGGAUAAACAAAUUACCUCCAAAAUCCACAUCCU